GGGCUCGUAGCUCAGUGGAUAGAGCGCUUGACAUUUUGACCAAGUGGUCGGGGGUUCGAAUCCUCCCGAGCCCA
rnacentral:tRNA from 1 species